rnacentral:lncRNA from 1 species
GUCGUACCGACUUUGAAUUAAACUUGGAAAAUAAUUUAGAACUCAGAACUUUGUAUCCUGGCAGCGGUUAUUAGGAAUGGGCAGGCUCAUCUCAUUGAUUGUGCUGUGAGAAGGCUCUUCAGCUUCAUAUGGAGCAAAAAGGAUUCACUGUCCUGGAUUCACAGGAUUCAGACCACCCACAAAUCCCAUCUUCUCCAGUUAUCAUCAUGGUCCAGGUGAGGAUACAGACCUGUCCUGGUUGCCCCUCCUUGCUCAGCGGCAGAUAA